ACGGAAGGCAGCAGUGAGGAAUAUUGGUCAAUGGACGCAAGUCUGAACCAGCCAUGCCGCGUGCAGGAAUAAGGCCCUAUGGGUCGUAAACUGCUUUUGUGGUGGAGCAAUAAGUCGUACGUGUACGGCGAUGAGAGUACAUCACGAAUAAGCAUCGGCUAACUCCGUGCCAGCAGCCGCGGUAAUACGGAGGAUGCAAGCGUUAUCCGGAUUUAUUGGGUUUAAAGGGUGCGUAGGCUGUGGUCCAAGUCAGGGGUGAAAGCCCGGAGCUCAACUCCGGAACUGCCUUUGAUACUGGAUUGCCGGAAUACGGAUGCCGUGGGAGGAAUGAGUAGUGUAGCGGUGAAAUGCAUAGAUAUUACUCAGAACACCGAUUGCGAAGGCAUCUCACGAAUCCGUCAUUGACGCUGAGGCACGAAAGCGUGGGGAUCAAACAGGAUUAGAUACCCUGGUA
rnacentral:rRNA from 1 species